rnacentral:tRNA from 1 species
UUCCCUGUAGCUCAGCUGGAUAGAGCGAUCCCCUCCUAAGGGAUAGGUCGAAGGUUCGAAUCCUUUCAGGGAAGCCA